GACGAACGCUGGCGGCGUGCUUAACACAUGCAAGUCGAACGGAAAGGCCCUGCUUUUGUGGGGUGCUCGAGUGGCGAACGAGUGAGUAACACGUGAGUAACCUGCCCUUGACUUUGGGUUAACUUAAGGAAACUGGGGCUAAUACGGGAUGGGAGCUCUUGCUGCAUGGUGGGGGUUGGAAAGUUUCGGCGGUUGGGGAUGGACUCGCGGCUUAUCAGCUUGUUGGUGGGGUAGUGGCUUACCAAGGCUUUGACGGGUAGCCGGCCUGAGAGGGUGACCGGCCACAUUGGGACUGAGAUACGGCCCAGACUCCUACGGGAGGCAGCAGUGGGGAAUAUUGCACAAUGGGCGGAAGCCUGAUGCAGCAACGCCGCGUGCGGGAUGACGGCCUUCGGGUUGUAAACCGCUUUCGCCUGUGACGAAGCGUGAGUGACGGUAAUGGGUAAAGAAGCACCGGCUAACUACGUG
rnacentral:rRNA from 1 species